AUAAGCCAUCUUUUUUUUAAUCAAACUUGCUUUGCAAGGUGUCCCAGCACUCCCAUACUCAACCAAUCCCGGAAAAUUGAUUUCUGGCCGCUGAGAGGCCUCUCCAGAGGAAUCGGACUAGAACGCCAGAGGAGGUCACGCCCCAACCACGCUGGAGGUACGUUCCUGCCACUCUCGCCAUCACCCACUCUAGCACUUCAGAAAACACUAUGACACGCCCAGUGCGCGCUGUCCGGGAACUAAGGGCCACGUGAAGAAUGCAAGUAGCGCUCGAGCACUCGCGGGACCAGGCCUCGCCCGGCCGCUUCAGCCCGUGACCGUCCCCGAGGGGCUGCGACCGGCCUGAGGGAGAAGGAACCAGUUGGUGACCGGCGCGAGCCUCGUUUCUCAGCGGCAGGCAGUACACGCACACUCACCAGAGUGAAACCACAGGACCCCUAUGUGCUGUGCACUCAAGACCCAAACUAGAGGAAGGGUCUGUUUUACUGCCCAUGGAAGGCCACGUCUAAAAUUAAACCACGUUCAAGGGAACUGUGCACCCAAAUAUUUCUCAGUUGCAUCCCAGCCUCGAAAACCUGUUUUAGGGCUGGAAAGCUGGCUCAGCCGUUAUGAGCACUGGCUGCUCUACCAGAGGACCAGGGCUCAAUUUCCCCGCGUUUUCCACAUGGCAGCUCACAACUGUCUGUAGAUCCAGUCCUAGAGGACCCAACACCCUCACACAUACUUGCAUGCAAAACAACAGUGCACAUAAAAUGAAAAGAAAUAAAUCAAUGAGAACAAAA